rnacentral:lncRNA from 1 species
UUUUGUAUUUUUGUAUUUGUGUUUUAUUUUUGCAGGAACAAGACUUCGCAGUUGUAAAAUAUAAACACACACAACAAUAAAAAAUGUGUAUAAAUAAAAAGAAAAUAAAAAUAAAUAACUGUACAACCAUCCAAAAAAUAAUGAAAAACUAAUAAAUGUUCAAAAUGCUAAAAAUGUCCAAAAAUGGAGGAGACGUGGAGUAGGAC